UCUGACCUCAAAUCAGGUAGGAUUACCCGCUGAACUUAAG
rnacentral:rRNA from 1 species